rnacentral:rRNA from 1 species
AUGCGUUCAGCGAGUAUACAACCUUGAUCGAUAGGUCUGGGUAAUCUUGUGAAUGCGCAUCGUGCUAGGGAUAGAUUGUUGCAAUUUUCAAUCUUGAACGAGGAAUUCCUAGUAAACGCAAGUCAUCAGCUUGCAUUGAUUACGUCCCUGCCCUUUGUACACACCGCCCGUCGCACCUACCGAUUGAAUGACUCGGUGAGAAAUCGGGACCGUGAGUCCGUUUGCUUCAUUGCGAGUGGACUGAUGGGAACUUUUUCUAACCUCGCCAUUUAGAGGAAGGUGAAGUCGUAACAAGGUUUCCGUAGGUGAACCUGCGGAAGGAUCAUUACCACACCAUAAAAACUUUCCACGUGAACCGUUGAAAUCAUGUUCUGUGCUCUCUUUCGGGAGGGCUGAACGAAGGUGGGCUGCUUAAUUGUAGUCUGCCGAUGUAUUUUUCAAACCCAUUUACCUAAUACUGAUCUAUACUCCAAAAACGAAAGUUUAUGGUUUUAAUCUAUAACAACUUUCAGCAGUGGAUGUCUAGGCUCGCACAUCGAUGAAGAACGCUGCGAACUGCGAUACGUAAUGCGAAUUGCAGAAUUCAGUGAGUCAUCGAAAUUUUGAACGCACAUUGCACUUUCGGGUUAUGCCUGGAAGUAUGCCUGUAUCAGUGUCCGUACAUCAAACUUGCCUUUCUUUUUCUGUGUAGUCAGGGAGAGAGAUGGCAGAAUGUGAGGUGUCUCGCUGGCUCCCUUUUCGGAGGAGAAGACGCGAGUCCCUUUAAAUGUACGUUCGCUCUUUCUUGUGUCUAAGAUGAAGUGUGAUUCUCGAAUCGCGGUGAUCUGUUUGGAUCGCUUUGCGCAUUUGGGCGACUUCGGUUAGGACAUUAAAGGAAGCAACCUCUAUUGGCGGUAUGUUAGGCUUCGGCCCGACGUUGCAGCUGACAGAGUGUGGUUUUCUGUUCUUUCCUUGAGGUGUACCUGAAUUGUGUGAGGCAAUGGUCUGGGCAAAUGGUUGCUGUGUAGUAGGGUUUUGCU